UCUCUUAUGUCUUUCAUGAUUAAAGGAGAGCAAUAAUUUUGCUAGUACCCUAUUUUCCUAUUUAUAUAUGUGGCUUUGUUUAUUCAUUGGAAGAAAUCAGCAGAUAGCAUAAGAGAAAAAAAAAUAUAUAGGUUGGAGAACAUAAAAGUGGGAUUAAAACUUCUCAGUUAUUAAGGUAUGAAACUUUUCCAUUGUUCUUUAGCAUGGAAUUACUAUAUACAUACAAUAGUGCAGGUGUUUGUUCAUGAUAUUAAGUGAUAGGAUACAAUUAUUUGGGACUUAUGAUUGGCUAAUGGAUUAGCAAAGUUAGUCAUUAUCUAAUGGACUUUGAUGGUGUAUAACUUGAAUGUCUCUCUCUUUUGUUCUGUUGAGCACCAGAUGCUCAAGAAUGUGGAACUAAAGAUUAACCACAUAAAAGGUUAGCUUCUUUACAGUGGCUUGACUGGAAAUCAGUGAAUGGAAAGUGCAAUAUUAUAAUCUAAUCGAUAAUUUUCUAUCUUGCAGUUGUAAAAUUCAGAUUAAUCUCUAUCAAAAGUGUAAGUGGAACAUAGUAGUGGUUUGACUUGAAAAUCUGCAUACUAGGAUACAAGUUUGACAGUUGCGUUUUUAAAUGGUAGAAGUACAUAAUUUGAGUAAUUGGAUUGAGCAAUAGACUUUGAUAUUGGACUUUCUCUGAAAUUUUAUGAGAUGAUCUUUGAUGGGGUAUUGACUAUAUUAAACCCCUUUUUGGUGUAGUUUAAGGUGCUUUGAGUUUUCGGGAGCAUAUUUUUUAUUUACUAGAAGGUGGUGCUUGAAUUGUGCAUUCGAGAUACGAUUGCAGAGAGAGAGGCUCGUGGCUGACUAUCUUACGUGUGGAUUCUAUCGCUAAGGAGAGCCUUCGCAUUAUUCGUGAAGGCCGUCAUUCAUCUUUACUUAUUUUUAGCUUAUGUUUCCUUUCGUUGGGUUUGCAUUCCCAAAAGUUAAACUCAUGUAACUCUAUUUAGAUGCUCCAUGAACUCAAUCUGGGACUUGGGUUAGUAUGUUUUUAUCUAAAGUAUUAUAGUUUUCAUAAAUCUCUAUGUGGUAUCUUGUUGGAUAAUUAUCCUGCAUUAAUGAUUAUUUCGUGUACAUAGUGUUAUGUAUGUUUUUAUCUAAUUGUUUGUAAAUAUGGUGAACAUAUAUAGAAAAUUGGUUCUUCCGACAAACGGUGUUGUCGGGAGCCAGUCACGCCUAGGAUUGUUUUGGGACGUGACAUAACA